GAGGCGGAAGCCGGAAGAAAAACAACAACCAGUUUGUUUCAUAUUCUGAGCUUCUUCUUUUUUAAAGAGCACUACUAUAUACAAUGGACGUGGUGGAGACCAAACUCCCAGGGUCCCCUGGGCCCAAAGGUAUCCAUGGGGACCAAGUAACGCAGACCCUGAGGGGGUGAAGCAGGAGGACUGUGGGCCCCUAACAACACCCCUAACAACGUACCUGAAUUUUGCCCAUGUGAAAACAGAAGAAGAGGAGGAAGAGAUAUGGGGUGUGGCUCACCCAAGUACAGGGUUCUUCAACGUCAAGAAGGAGGAAGAGGAAGAAGCCAUAGUAUAUCCUAUACAGACUAAUGACAACCCAAGCCCCACUUCUGACAUUACCAGUCAUAGUUCUGAUGACUCCAGCCCUGACAAUGGCCCUAGAGCCACCCCUGACA